CAGUAAGUAGUUUAAAAAAAAUCUUAGUUUUGGAGACUAAGGAUGAAUAAUUUUCUUUACUGA
rnacentral:tRNA from 1 species